rnacentral:rRNA from 1 species
UACGAAGGGUGCAAGCGUUACUCGGAAUUACUGGGCGUAAAGCGUGCGUAGGCGGUUUGUUAAGUCCGUUGUGAAAGCCCUGGGCUCAACCUGGGAAUUGCAGUGGAUACUGGCGAGCUAGAGUGCGGUAGAGGAUGGUGGAAUUCCCGGUGUAGCGGUGAAAUGCGUAGAGAUCGGGAGGAACACCCGUGGCGGAGGCGGCCAUCUGGACCAGCACUGACGCUGAGGCACGAAAGCGUGGGGGAGCAAACAGG